CCAGAGGGGAGAGAUGAGUGAAAUAGGUAAAGGGGAUUAAGAGGUACAAACUUCCAGUUAUAAAAUAAAUUAGUUAUGAGGAUGAAAAGUACAGUAUACGGAAUAUAGUCAACAAGAUUGUAAUAACGUUGUAUGGUGACAGAGGGUAACUACACUUAUCUUGGUGAGCAUAGCAUAAUGUAUAGAAUUGCCAAAUCAGUUUGUUGCACACCUAAAAUUAACAUAACAUUGUAUGUUUACUUCAAUUAAAAAGCAAAA